GACGAACGCUGGCGGCGUGCCUAAUACAUGCAAGUUGAGCGCUGAAGGUUGGUACUUGUACCAACUGGAUGAGCAGCGAACGGGUGAUUAACGCGUGGGGAAUCUGCCUUUGAGCGGGGGACAACAUUUGGAAACGAAUGCUAAUACCGCAUAAAAACUUUAAACACAAGUUUUAAGUUUGAAAGAUGCAAUUGCAUCACUCAAAGAUGAUCCCGCGUUGUAUUAGCUAGUUGGUGAGGUAAAGGCUCACCAAGGCGAUGAUACAUAGCCGACCUGAGAGGGUGAUCGGCCACAUUGGGACUGAGACACGGCCCAAACUCCUACGGGAGGCAGCAGUAGGGAAUCUUCGGCAAUGGACGAAAGUCUGACCGAGCAACGCCGCGUGAGUGAAGAAGGUUUUCGGAUCGUAAAACUCUGUUGGUAGAGAAGAACGUUGGUGAGAGUGGAAAGCUCAUCAAGUGACGGUAACUACCCAGAAAGGGACGGCUAACUACGUG
rnacentral:rRNA from 1 species